UACGUAGGUGGCAAGCGUUGUCCGGAUUUACUGGGCGUAAAGAGCGCGCAGGCGGUCGUUCAAGUCGCGUGUGAAAGCCCCCGGCUCAACUGGGGAGGGUCACGCGAUACUGAUCGACUGGAAGGCAGGAGAGGGUAGUGGAUUUCCCGGUGUAGUGGUGAAAUGCGUAGAUAUCGGGAGGAACACUAGUGGCGAAGGCGACUUCCUGGCCUGUUCUUGACGCUGAGGCGCGAAAGUGUGGGGAGCGAACAGG
rnacentral:rRNA from 1 species